GCCAACGAUCAUACCACGUUGAAUACACCAGUUCCCGUCAGAUAACUGAAGUUAAGCAACGUCGGGCGUGGUAAGUACUUGGAUGGGUGACCGCUUGGGAACACCACGUAUCGUUGGCUCAU
rnacentral:rRNA from 1 species